UUUUUAUUGUUAUUUUAUUCUUUCUAUUUUAUUUUUUUUGUUGACAAUAAAGUGUGACUAGAUGAUUGAUUGUGGAAUACUAUAAGAGAAAAAAAAAGUCAAGAAUGCAUCAGUUAUAUAGUUGAUGCAGCAUCUUUAACCAAUGAGAUUUUUUUUUUAAUUUAUUCAUUCCAUUAUAUUAAUUAAAACAUUAUUUUUAUUAUACUAAUUUUUUUUAAAAAAUAUAUAUAAUUGAUUAGCUAUUGAUAAUAUGGCGUAAGUGUUGCAUAGUAAGAAACUUUCUUUCCUUCUGAUCACCAGAGAGAAAAAAUUCUAGAAUGCAAUGGGUAUGUAUAUAUUGGCAACGUAGCGUCAUGAUAUAUGUCCCCUCAUGAUUAUAAAAAAAUAUUUUUACUGUACUUUCGUUUGAAAAGAAAAAAUAUAAUUAACUUAUUAUUAAUGACGUGGUGCAAGUGACGGUGCAGAAUCCCUCCACCUCCACGAGAGGAGG
rnacentral:lncRNA from 1 species